rnacentral:rRNA from 1 species
UACGUAGGGUGCGAGCGUUAAUCGGAAUUACUGGGCGUAAAGCGUGCGCAGGCGGUUUUGUAAGCCAGAUGUGAAAUCCCCGGGCUUAACCUGGGAAUGGCAUUUGGGACUGCAAGGCUGGAGUGUGGCAGAGGAGACUGGAAUUCCUGGUGUAGCAGUGAAAUGCGUAGAUAUCAGGAGGAAUACCGGUGGCGAAGGCGGGUCUCUGGGCAGUAACUGACGCUGAGGAGCGAAAGCGUGGGGAGCGAACAGG